UGAGGAAUAUUGGUCAAUGGGCGCGAGCCUGAACCAGCCAAGUAGCGUGAAGGAUGAAGGUCCUACGGAUUGUAAACUUCUUUUAUAAGGGAAUAAAGUCACCCACGUGUGGGUGUUUGUAUGUACCUUAUGAAUAAGCAUCGGCUAACUCCGUGCCAGCAGCCGCGGUAAUACGGAGGAUGCGAGCGUUAUCCGGAUUUAUUGGGUUUAAAGGGAGCGUAGACGGGCCGUUAAGUCAGCUGUGAAAGUUUGAGGCUCAACCUUAAAAUUGCAGUUGAUACUGGCGUCCUUGAGUACGGUUGAGGCAGGCGGAAUUCGUGGUGUAGCGGUGAAAUGCUUAGAUAUCACGAAGAACCCCGAUUGCGAAGGCAGCCUGCUAAACCGCCACUGACGUUGAGGCUCGAAAGUGUGGGUAUCAAACAGGAUUAGAUACCCUGGUAGUCCACACGGUAAACGAUGGAUACUCGCUGUUGGCGAUAGACUGUCAGCGGCUUAGCGAAAGCGUUAAGUAUCCCACCUGGGGAGUACGCCGGCAACGGUGAAACUCAAAGGAAUUGACGGGGGCCCGCACAAGCGGAGGAACAUGUGGUUUAAUUCGAUGAUACGCGAGGAACCUUACCCGGGCUUGAAUUGCAGACGAAUUGCUUGGAAACAGGCAAGCCGCAAGGCGUCUGUGAAGGUGCUGCAUGGUUGUCGUCAGCUCGUGCCGUGAGGUGUCGGCUUAAGUGCCAUAACGAGCGCAACCCUCGUGUCCAGUUACUAGCAGGUUAUGCUGAGGACUCUGGACAGACUGCCAUCGUAAGAUGUGAGGAAGGUGGGGAUGACGUCAAAUCAGCACGGCCCUUACGUCCGGGGCUACACACGUGUUACAAUGGGGGGUACAGAGGGCCGCUACCACGCGAGUGGAUGCCAAUCCCCAAAACCUCUCUCAGUUCGGACUGGAGUCUGCAACCCGACUCCACGAAACUGGAUUCGCUAGUAAUCGCGCAUCAGCCACGGCGCGGUGAAUACGUUCCC
rnacentral:rRNA from 1 species